rnacentral:lncRNA from 7 species
AAAUUAAUGCCAUGGUGCCCCGGUGGCGCCCCCACGCACCCACGGCGGCGGGUUCGCCGGAGAGAAGGUGCCCGGUGCCCUGGUGCUCAAAUGAGCACCCUGACAGGCUCUACUCGAUGAACCGAACGUAACGAGGUCCACUAGGGCAUUCUUACCUUGGAUUAGAGGGAUGAAAGGUCUGUCCACGCGAUGAGGCGGGUCCCUCUAUGGUGCGAACGACGACGAGCAAUUGCUCGAACCCCGCCUGUUCCCUCGGCUUUGCUGGUCCAUGGACAUGCUCCCUGGGUCCAGGUGAAUCCCCAGACCCACAAUCAAGGUCCCGGCAACCCCGCAGAUGGCCUGCCCGCGAUGGUGCGCACCUCCGCGGCGCAAGACGAAGCCUGGUGAGGAAUUACCAUCAACCGAGUGGUUCCCCCCUUCCGCGAAGGUGACCGGCAGACUUAGGAAGACGAAGCGAAGCUCCCUGCCCAAGGAACCCGACGCGGGCGCCUACGUGAAUUCACAGCGGCGGCGGAAAUCCCCGCACGAUUGCAA